GAGCUCAGAAUGGGGCAAU
rnacentral:snRNA from 1 species